GACAGAAACAAAAUAGAAGAAGAGUAGAAGGAAAGGAUAAAUAGAAAGAAGAAGGAAGGGAAGGAGAAAGAAGAAGAAGAGAAGUGCAGCAACUUCUCCUUGCUGCUGCAUGUGGCUGCUACCGCUGCUGUUCCUGCAGCCAUGGCUGCUGCUAUUGAUGCAUGCAAGCAUCUUUUGAACUCCACAUCAAGUAGAUGCUGCCAUGGUCUUGAUUCAACUGAAGAUUGGAGUGAAGGACUGCUGAUCGACUGCAUGCAUGUCUCAAGAAGCACAAGAAAGUUAGAAUCUGAACUCCACUUUGUGAAUUGGGCUAGGUGAGAAUCGGUUAAGGAAUCCAGUAACCACUUCUGUUGAGGAUACGCGAGGCUAGGACAUUGGUGAAGAGUUUCAGACAUGAAAAUCCAGGUUUUGAAGUUGAAGCAGAGAAGAUCGGGUGAUUUUUUGAAGAUGAAGUAAUGGACAGAGAGUGAUUAUAGACAAGGACUUUUGAUUACCUUGUGUUUUAUAAUGUAAAUUAAGCAUAAGUUGUAUCAUGUAUUUUUUUGUAACCGGUGGAUGGAAUAAAUGGCCUAUAGUAUUAUAAUAGUAUCAUUGUAGCCAAUCACCA